rnacentral:rRNA from 1 species
AUUGAACGCUGGCGGAAUGCUUUACACAUGCAAGUCGAGCGGCAGCGCGGGGGCGAACCCUGGCGGCGAGCGGCGAACGGGUGAGUAAUACAUCGGAACGUGUCCUUAAGUGGGGGAUAGCUCGGCGAAAGCCGGAUUAAUACCGCAUAAGCUCUGAGGAGGAAAGCGGGGGCUCCGUAAGGACCUCGCGCUGUUGGAGCGGCCGAUGUCGGAUUAGCUAGUUGGUGGGGAAAGGCCCACCAAGGCGACGAUCCGUAGCUGGUCUGAGAGGAUGAUCAGCCACACUGGAACUGAGACACGGUCCAGACUCCUACGGGAGGCAGCAGUGGGGAAUUUUGGACAAUGGGGGCAACCCUGAUCCAGCCAUUCCGCGUGAGUGAAGAAGGCC